rnacentral:misc_RNA from 1 species
GGAAUCUUCAUGCCCGUGUUGUGGUCACUUGCAAUGAGAUGAGCAGAAAUUAAACCUCCAAGGAUACGAAUUGUAGUCUCAAAGAUAGAUACUGUUUUGUUAAUAUCAAACCGAAGAUUUUUACCAAUCCAUUCAACAGAAGCAGUGAAGCGCUCUCUGUCACCAAGCAAAGCCAAGGUGUCCAAUGAGUCAAUCAAUGUUAGGGCAUAGCCACCAAGUGUGUCUUC